UACGAAGGACCCGAGCGUUAUCCGGAUUUAUUGGGUUUAAAGGGUGCGUAGGCGGAUUAGUAAGUCAGUGGUGAAAGCCCAUCGCUUAACGGUGGAACUGCCAUUGAUACUGCUAGUCUUGAGUAUGGUUGAGGUGGGCGGAAUGUGUCAUGUAGCGGUGAAAUGCAUAGAUAUGACCCAGAACACCAAUUGCGAAGGCAGCUCGCUAAGCCAUAACUGACGCUGAGGCACGAAAGCGUGGGGAGCAAACAGG
rnacentral:rRNA from 1 species